GUCUCACCAAAUAAUAAUAAUUUAGAAAAGAAAAAAACUAAACACGUUCUCUUUCACAUACACUCAGAAAUACACCGCUAUCGAUAUAUCACGAAACACGAUCUUACAAAGAUUUCAAACUCAAUCUCGAUCUCGUCGAUUUCAAACUCAAUCUCGCCGAUCGCAAUCUCGAUCUCGCCGAUUUCUAACUCAAUCUCGCCGAUCGCAAUCUCGAUCUCGCCGAUUUCAAUCUCAAUCUCGCCGAUCGCAAUCUCGAUCUCGCCGAUUUCAAUCUCAAUCUCGCCGAUCGCAAUCUCGAUCUCGAUAUCAAUCUCAAUAUCGCCACUGAUCACGACCUAGAUCUGACUCUUGCUACCGAUUUGUAUGGUUUGUUUUCUCCGAUUUCGCUUUCCAAUCUGCGUCACCCACCGAUCUGCGUAAAGUCUCCUAUCUUCACUAUGUUUUUUGGUUGAUUCAUGUUUAUCAAUAUUUUUCGCUUAAUCCUAUUUAUCGACAUGGCUCGACAGCUAUUUUCAACAAUGCAUCUAUUUCUUCUAUAUGAUUUUGUUGGAAUUUAAUUAGGGUUUAACUUUAAUUGAUGUUAAUUAUAUUGUUGUUCAAUCAAAGAUUUCUGUAACGUUUGAGUGGGUAUGCGAUCAAAUCUUUGUUCACAUUGCUCAAUUCACAAGGCCAGACUACUCAUAUUGAUUAUCUCUACGCAUCAGAAAAUCUAUGAGUAUUUCCAUCGUCUUCCAUAUCAGUAUAUCAACUAUUUUUGUUAUUUCGACUAUACGUUAAUUUGAUUAAUACAACAAGUGAAACUACAAAUUAGGAAGGGAGGGAGUACACAUUAGACUCAUCAAAUACAUUAUAUAAAAUGACAAAAUUAGUUGACAACAAACGAGAGUUUGUUGCGUCAGUGUGUUGAAUGAAUAUGCUAUAAAUGGAUUUAGAAUGUUGUGUUGUUUACAAUUUUUUGCUUUUCUCAUUGACAUGUACAGAGUUCCAAUGGAUUUGAAGACUGAAUCACCAGAUCUAAAGUCCUAAAUAGCUUUCUCUUUGGAACAAACACUAAGAUUCACUUGGUUUUGGAAUAUUUGUCUUAAUUUGAUGCUGUUUUGAUAUUAGUUCUUUCUUUUUUUUAUUUUAUUUUGAUGAUAAUGCAUAAUGCUUUGGUUAUGUUUCAAUUUUAAAUCUCUGUUCAUGUUUGUAAUAUUAAUUCUUCCAGGUUUCCAUAUGAAGAUGCCUUUUUUAACUCAGUUUGAGCAUGUCCAAGUGACACUUUAAGCCGAAGAGGUGACAGAUAUACUAUGCGUAACAUUCCUCUACUUAAUUAUUUAUAACAACUCGACCGUGAUGUGAUACCAAGAUAUAUGAACAGUUGGCUUUGUAACUCGACCAACACCAGGUACUUUAUUAAGAGAUUAUUGGAUUAAAGCCUCUAAGAACUUGGUGUUGGCAAUCAUGGAAACACAAAAUACAGAGAGGAGUUGUAACUCAAACAACCUCAACUUCUUUAAUGAGAGAUUCUUAGAUUAAAGCUUGUAAAUAACUUGGUGUUGGCAAUUUUCAUGAGUGAAUUAUAGAAUACAAAAUGUAGGGUGAUAAUUAACAACAAUAUGUUCUAAAUUAAGGUGGGACCCUUCGAUGUUCAUGCAAAUUGUGGAGAUGGUGUCGUUCUAUUUGACUCCUCCAGCCAAUGAGUUCUCACCGAUGAAUGGUGUGUCACCCUCGAGUUACUCCAGCAUGGUUCUUCUUAUUACAUGUUUCAAGGAGGUUAAGCUGAACCAGCUAGUUUCAAGGAGGUGAAGCUGAACCAGCUAGGUGUGCGAGAUUCAGAUUAAUAUAUAUACAAUAUAAAGGUGCUGUCAGGAUCUAGAAGAAGGUGGAGAUCUUCAUACUCUUAUUUUUGGUAAAUAACACAUUUGUUAUAGCUGUCAUAAGAUCAAAAGGAUGAGACUUGACUUUAGUAGCUUAAGCUUUAGCCAACUAUGAUCCAAAAGGUAAAGAAUUUUCUUCUCCUCAAGAAAAUGUUGAGAAGACGGAGGCAAGGCGGUUUGACUAAUGUGUUUAUUGGGCAUGUUGCCAAUGUUGGAGCCAAUUCUUUCAUUGAUUCGAUCCAUGCCAAAAGCACCCAUGCAAAGUGAAGUACCUGAAGAAACUCAUGGAGAUAUAAGGUGAAAGAAUGUUUUCCAAUCUAUUUUGGAAACCGGAGUUAAUAUAGAACCUGAGAUGUGACUUCUGAAUUGGAAAUAAAAUAGAAUAUUAUUGUAAUGUAAAAUGUUUUAGUAUUGUUAAAUAUAUUAAAAAAUUGAUUUUAGAAUAUUAUUGUGAUGUUUAAUGUUUCAGUGUUGUUAAAUAUAUUAAAAAAUUAAUUUUUUUGGUUA